rnacentral:misc_RNA from 1 species
GAAAUGCGAUAAGUAAUGUGAAUUGCAGAAUUCAGUGAAUCAUCGAAUCUUUGAACGCACCUUGCGCUCCUUGGUAUUCCUUGGAGCAUGCCUGUUUGAGUAUCAUGAAAUCUUCAAAGUAAAUCUUUUGUUAACUCAAUUGGUUUCUACUUUGGUAUUGGAGGUCUUUGCAGCUUCACACCUGCUCCUCUUUGUUCAUUAGCUGGAUCUCAGUGUUAUGCUUGGUUCCACUCGGCGUGAUAAGUUAUCUAUCGCUGAGGACACUGUAAAAGGUGGCCAAGGUAAAUGCAGAUGAACCGCUUCUAAUAGUCCAUUGACUUGAACAAUACUUUUAUGAUCUGAUCUCACAUCAGGUAGGACUACCCGCUGAACUUAAGC